GUAUGAAAUUGAUCGUGGUUGAUUGGUAUAGACUCGUUAGAGGACGAUUUACACUUUCAAGAAGGAUUCGUGAACCAAGAGGGACUAUAGAAGGAGAUUGAGCUUGGAAAUGUAAGGUUUGAUGAAGAAACCAAAAUCAAAAGUCUGCAAUGUGAGAAUUGAUGAUGGGAAAAGACACAUCUACGUGAAGAUCUGAUAUUGUCUUCUCCUUGAUGAUGUUGAACGCCGCAUUUUUUGAUAGCGUCAACCGGAUCAACCCUGAGGCCUGCUGAUCCUUGAGCUUCUACUGCUCCGUGUUCAUGGUAUCCGAAUUCACCUCCUACAGGGGUUCGUGAAGAUCUUUCUGGUACAGAUAAUCUUCAAUCUGCAUCGUCCAAAAAUAGAAAUCGGAUCCAUCAAACUUUUCAAUUCCAACAUUUGAGCUUUCGAUCUUCACAG